rnacentral:rRNA from 1 species
UCAAGUUAUUAAGGGUGCAGGGCGGAUGCCUUGGCACUAGGAGCCGAUGAAGGACGUGAUAAGCUGCGAUAAGCUUCGGGGAGUUGCACGUAAACUUUGAUCCGAAGAUUUCCGAAUGAGGAAACUCACUUAGAGUAAUGUCUAAGUAUCAUUAAGUGAAUACAUAGCUUAAUGAGGGGAACUCAGGGAACUGAAACAUCUAAGUACCUGAAGGAAGAGAAAGAAAUUCGAUUCCGUAAGUAGCGGCGAGCGAACGCGGAUUAGCCCAAACCAAUAAAGUUUUCUUUAUUGGGGUUGCGGACAUAUCAUAACGGAGAGGUAUCGUAAUUGAAGAGGUUUGGAAAGACCCACCACAGAAGGUAAUAGUCCUGUAUGUUAAAUGAGAAGACUUUAGAUAUGAUCCAGAGUACCACUGGACACGUGAAACCCUGUGGGAAGCAGGAGGGACCACCCUCCAAGGCUAAAUACUACCUAGUGACCGAUAGCGUAUAGUACCGUGAGGGAAAGGUGAAAAGAACCCCGGGAGGGGAGUGAAAUAGAACCUGAAACCCUGCACUUACAAGCUGUGGAAGCACAUUUCUUGUGUGACCGCGUACUUUUUGUAGAACGGGCCAACGAGUUACGUUAAGUAGCAAGGUUAAGCACUUAAGGUGCGGAGCCGUAGCGAAAGCGAGUUUUAACUGAGCGUUCAGUUACUUGACGUAGACCCGAAACCGGGCGACCUACCCAUGAGCAGGAUGAAGCGAAAGUAAAAUUUCGUGGAGGUCCGAACCCACGAGCGUUGAAAAGCUCGGGGAUGACUUGUGGGUAGCGGUGAAAUUCCAAUCGAGCCCGGAGAUAGCUGGUUCUCCCCGAAAUAGCUUUAGGGCUAGCCUCAAGGUGAGAGAUACGGAGGUAGAGCACUGAAUGUCCUAGGGGGUAUUGCACCUACCGAAGACUAUCAAACUCCGAAUGCCGUCAUCUUAUACUUGGGAGUCAGACUGUGGGUGAUAAGAUUCAUAGUCGAAAGGGCAACAGCCCAGAUCGUCAGCUAAGGUCCCUAAAUGUAAGUUAAGUGGUAAAGGAUGUGGGAUUGCACAGACAACCAGGAUGUUGGCUUAGAAGCAGCCACUCAUUCAAAGAGUGCGUAAUAGCUCACUGGUCGAGUGAUCCUGCGCCGAAGAUUUCCGGGGCUAAAACUUACUACCGAAGCUACGGCAUCAGUAAUGAUGGGUAGGGGAGCUUCCCAUACGGGUUGAAGCAUGACCGUAAGGACAUGUGGACAGUAUGGGAGUGAGAAUGUUGGCAUGAGUAGCGAGAUGUGGGUGAGAAUCCCACAGGCCGUAAACCCAAGGUUUCCAGGGGAAGGUUCGUCCGCCCUGGGUUAGUCGGGACCUAAGCUGAGGCCGAAAGGCGUAGGUGAUGGACAACAGGUUGAUAUUCCUGUACUACCGAUAACCGUUUGAGAGAAGGGAUGACACAGUAGGAUAAGCUAAGCACACUGUUGGUUAUGUGUGCCCAAGCAUUGAGGCAGUCAAAGUAGGUAAAUCCGCUUUGAUAAUGCUGGGAUGUGAUGGGGAGCGAAAUUUAGUAGCGAAGUAGCUGAUUUCACACUGUCAAGAAAAGUCUCUAUCGAGGUUAAAGGUACCCGUACCGCAAACCGACACAGGUGGGUGAGGAGAGUAUCCUAAGGCCAGCGAGAGAACUGUUGUUAAGGAACUCGGCAAAAUGACCCCGUAACUUAGGGAUAAGGGGUGCCACCAUCAGGUGGCCGCAGAGAAUAGGCCCAAGCGACUGUUUACCAAAAACAUAGGUUUCUGCUAAGUCGCAAGACGAUGUAUAGGAGCUGACGCCUGCCCGGUGCUGGAAGGUUAAGGGGAGCUGUUAGAGCAAUCGAAGCAGUGAACUUAAGCCCCAGUAAACGGCGGCCGUAACUAUAACGGUCCUAAGGUAGCGAAAUUCCUUGUCGGGUAAGUUCCGACCCGCACGAAAGGCGUAACGAUUUGGGCACUGUCUCAACAACAGACUCGGUGAAAUUGUAAUUCCGGUGAAGAUGCCGGAUACCUGCGACAGGACGGAAAGACCCCAUGGAGCUUUACUGUAGCUUGACAUUGGGUCUUGGUACUACAUGUACAGGAUAGGUGGGAGGCUUUGAAACCAGGACGCCAGUUUUGGCGGAGCCAUCCUUGGGAUACCACCCUUGUAGUACUGGGACUCUAACCAUAGGCCAUGAAUCUGGUCUUGGGACACUGUCAGGUGGGCAGUUUGACUGGGGCGGUCGCCUCCCAAAAGGUAACGGAGGCGCUCAAAGGUUCUCUCAGUACGGUCGGAAAUCGUACGUAGAGUGUAAAGGCAAAAGAGAGCUUGAUUGCAAGACAUACAGGUCGAGCAAGGAUGAAAAUCGGACUUAGUGAUCCGGUGGUUCUGCGUGGAAGGGCCAUCGCUCAACGGAUAAAAGCUACCCUGGGGAUAACAGGCUUAUCUCCCCCAAGAGUCCACAUCGACGGGGAGGUUUGGCACCUCGAUGUCGGCUCAUCACAUCCUGGGGCUGUAGUAGGUCCCAAGGGUUGGGCUGUUCGCCCAUUAAAGUGGUACGCGAGCUGGGUUCAGAACGUCGUGAGACAGUUCGGUCCCUAUCCGUCGCAGGCGUAGGAAAUUUGAGAAGACCUGUCCUUAGUACGAGAGGACCGGGAUGGACGUACCUCUGGUGUACCAGUUGUUCUGCCAAGGGCAUGGCUGGGUAGCUAUGUACGGAAUGGAUAAGCGCUGAAAGCAUCUAAGCGCGAAGCCAACUUCAAGAUAAGAUUUCCCACCGCAAGGGUAAGACCCCAGAAAGACUAUCUGGUUGAUAGGUCGAAGGUGUAAGUGCAGCAAUGUAUUUAGCUUAUCGAUACUAAUAGGUCGAGGACUUGACCAA